AUUGAACGCUGGCGGCAGGCCUAAAACAUGCAAGUCGAACGAGUGGCGGACGGGUGAGUAAUGUCUGGGAAACUGCCUGAUGGAGGGGGAUAACUACUGGAACCGUUAGCUAAUACCGCAUACCAUCAGAUGUGCCCAGAUGGGAUUAGCUUGUUGGUGGGGUAACGGUGCACCAAGGCGACAAUCCCUAGCUGGUCUGAGAGGAUGACCGUACAGCCUGGAACUGUGACACGGUCCAGACGCCUACGGGAGGCAGCAGUGGGGAACAUUGCACAAGGGGCGCAAGCCUGAUGCAGCCAUGCCGCGUGUAUGAAGAAGGCCGUCGGGUUGUAAAGUACUUUCAGCGGGGAGGCGUUACCCGCAGAAGAAGCACCGGCUAACUCCGUGCCAGCAGCCGCGGUAAUAC
rnacentral:rRNA from 1 species